rnacentral:rRNA from 1 species
GAUGAACGCUGGCGGCGUGCUUAACACAUGCAAGUCGAACGGUGAAGGCGGAGCUUGCUCUGCUGGAUCAGUGGCGAACGGGUGAGUAACACGUGAGCAAUCUGCCCCUGACUCUGGGAUAAGCGCUGGAAACGGCGUCUAAUACUGGAUACGAGCUGCGAAGGCAUCUUCAGCAGCUGGAAAGAACUUCGGUCAGGGAUGAGCUCGCGGCCUAUCAGCUUGUUGGCGAGGUAACGGCUCACCAAGGCGUCGACGGGUAGCCGGCCUGAGAGGGUGACCGGCCACACUGGGACUGAGACACGGCCCAGACUCCUACGGGAGGCAGCAGUGGGGAAUAUUGCACAAUGGGCGAAAGCCUGAUGCAGCAACGCCGCGUGAGGGACGACGGCCUUCGGGUUGUAAACCUCUUUUAGCAGGGAAGAAGCGAAAGUGACGGUACCUGCAGAAAAAGCGCCGGCUAACUACGUG